rnacentral:rRNA from 1 species
UACGGAGGGUCCAAGCGUUAUCCGGAUUUAUUGGGCUUAAAGGGUGCGUAGGUGGCCUGUUAAGUCAGGGGUGAAAGACGGUAGCUUAACUAUCGCAGUGCCCUUGAUACUGAUGGGCUUGAAUGAACUAGAGGUAGGCGGAAUGUGACAAGUAGCGGUGAAAUGCAUAGAUAUGUCACAGAACACCAAUUGCGAAGGCAGCUUACUGUGGUUUUAUUGACACUGAGGCACGAAAGCGUGGGGAGCAAACAGG